ensembl:snRNA U6 U6 spliceosomal RNA
UGGAUAAGUGAGACUCUACUGUACUAACACUGGAACAAUACAGAGAAGAUUCACACGGCCCCUCCGCAAGGACGACACGCAAAUUCGUGAAGCGUUCCAUUUUUUU